UGAACCGCAUGGUUCAAAAGUGAAAGACGGUCUUGCUGUCACUUAUAGAUGGAUCCGCGCUGCAUUAGCUAGUUGGUAAGGUAACGGCUUACCAAGGCAACGAUGCAUAGCCGACCUGAGAGGGUGAUCGGCCACACUGGAACUGAGACACGGUCCAGACUCCUACGGGAGGCAGCAGUAGGGAAUCUUCCGCAAUGGGCGAAAGCCUGACGGAGCAACGCCGCGUGAGUGAUGAAGGUCUUCGGAUCGUAAAACUCUGUUAUUAGGGAAGAACAUAUGUGUAAGUAACUGUGCACAUCUUGACGGUACCUAAUCAGAAAGCCACGGCUAACUACGUGCCAGCAGCCGCGGUAAUACGUAGGUGGCAAGCGUUAUCCGGAAUUAUUGGGCGUAAAGCGCGCGUAGGCGGUUUUUUAAGUCUGAUGUGAAAGCCCACGGCUCAACCGUGGAGGGUCAUUGGAAACUGGAAAACUUGAGUGCAGAAGAGGAAAGUGGAAUUCCAUGUGUAGCGGUGAAAUGCGCAGAGAUAUGGAGGAACACCAGUGGCGAAGGCGACUUUCUGGUCUGUAACUGACGCUGAUGUGCGAAAGCGUGGGGAUCAAACAGGAUUAGAUACCCUGGUAGUCCACGCCGUAAACGAUGAGUGCUAAGUGUUAGGG
rnacentral:rRNA from 1 species